rnacentral:rRNA from 1 species
GUAGGUGGCAAGCGUUGUCCGGAAUUAUUGGGCGUAAAGCGCGCGCAGGUGGUUCUUUAAGUCUGAUGUGAAAGCCUCCGGCUCAACCGGGGAGGGUCAUUGGAAACUGGGGAACUUGAGUGCAGGAGAGGAAAGUGGAAUUCCACGUGUAGCGGUGAAAUGCGUAGAUAUGUGGAGGAACACCAGUGGCGAAGGCGACUUUCUGGCCUGUAACUGACACUGAGGCGCGAAAGCGUGGGGAGCAAACAGGGAUUAGAUACCCUGGUAGUCCACGCCGUAAACGAUGAGUGCUAAGUGUUGGGGGGGUUUCCCGCCCCUCAGUGCUGCAGCUAACGCAUUAAGCACUCCGCCUGGGGAUACGGUCGCAAGACUG